CCGGCGCACGGGUGAGUAACACGUAUCCAACCUGCCGUCUACUCCUGGCCAGCCUUCUGAAAGGAAGAUUAAUCCAGGAUGGGAUCAUGAGUUCACAUGUCCGCAUGAUUAAAGGUAUUUUCCGGUAGACGAUGGGGAUGCGUUCCAUUAGAUAGUAGGCGGGGUAACGGCCCACCUAGUCAACGAUGGAUAGGGGUUCUGAGAGGAAGGUCCCCCACAUUGGAACUGAGACACGGUCCAA
rnacentral:rRNA from 1 species